UGGCUCUCGCAUCGAUGAAGAACGCAGCGAAAUGCGAUACGUAAUGUGAAUUGCAGAAUUCAGUGAAUCAUCGAAUCUUUGAACGCACCUUGCACCCCGUGGCUUACCACGGGGUACGCCCGUUCGAGUGUCACGUUCACCAUCGCCUUUGGGAAGGUCACUUCUCAUCUGGCGGAACUGGAUGUUGCCGUCGUUGGCUCGUCCGAAAUGCAUUAGCGAGGGUGGUCUCCCUUAACCGCUUGGCGUGAUAUUUACCUCUUGCGCCUGUCGGUCGGUUGUGUGGAGGCGGCUCUGCUUCGAAUCCCGUCGCGUCGACGGAACUUAUCCAAUGUUUUGACCUCGAAUCGGGUGGGACUACCCGCUGA
rnacentral:misc_RNA from 1 species